rnacentral:rRNA from 1 species
UGGGGAAUUUUGGACAAUGGGCGAAAGCCUGAUCCAGCAAUGCCGCGUGUGUGAAGAAGGCCUUCGGGUUGUAAAGCACUUUUGUCCGGAAAGAAAUCCUUGGCUCUAAUACAGUCGGGGGAUGACGGUACCGGAAGAAUAAGCACCGGCUAACUACGUGCCAGCAGCCGCGGUAAUACGUAGGGUGCAAGCGUUAAUCGGAAUUACUGGGCGUAAAGCGUGCGCAGGCGGUUUGCUAAGACCGGAUGUGAAAUCCCCGGGCUCAACCUGGGAACUGCAUUGGUGACUGGCAGGCUAGAGUAUGGCAGAGGGGGGUAGAAUUCCACGUGUAGCAGUGAAAUGCGUAGAGAUGUGGAGGAAUACCGAUGGCGAAGGCAGCCCCCUGGGCCAAUACUGACGCUCAUGCACGAAAGCGUGGGGAGCAAACAGGAUUAGAUACCCUGGUAGUCCACGCCCUAAACGAUGUCAACUAGUUGUUGGGGAUUCAUUCCUUAGUAACGUAGCUAACGCGUGAAGUUGACCGCCU